CUGGGGGAUUAGUGGCGAACGGGUGAGUAACACGUGAGUAACCUGCCCUUAACUCUGGGAUAAGCCUGGGAAACUGGGUCUAAUACCGGAUAUGACUCCUCAUCGCAUGGUGGGGGGUGGAAAGCUUUAUUGUGGUUUUGGAUGGACUCGCGGCCUAUCAGCUUGUUGGUGAGGUAAUGGCUCACCAAGGCGACGACUGGUAGCCGGCCUGAGAGGGUGACCGGCCACACUGGGACUGAGACACGGCCCAGACUCCUACGGGAGGCAGCAGUGGGGAAUAUUGCACAAUGGGCGAAAGCCUGAUGCAGCGACCCCGCGUGAGGGAUGACGGCCUUCGGGUUGUAAACCUCUUUCACUAGGGAAGAAGCGAAAGUGACGGUACCUGCUUAAGAAGCGCCGGCUAACUACGUGCCAGCAGCCUCGGUAAUACGUACGGCGCAAGCGUUAUCCGGAAUUAUUGGGCGUAAAGAGCUCGUAGGCGGUUUGUCGCGUCUGCCGUGAAAGUCCGGGGCUCAACUCCGGAUCUGCGGUGGGUACGGGCAGACUAGAGUGAUGUAGGGGAGACUGGAAUUC
rnacentral:rRNA from 1 species